rnacentral:rRNA from 1 species
GACGAACGCUGGCGGCGUGCUUAACACAUGCAAGUCGAACGGAAAGGCCCUGCUUUUGUGGGGUGCUCGAGUGGCGAACGGGUGAGUAACACGUGAGUAACCUGCCCUUGACUUUGGGAUAACUUCAGGAAACUGGGGCUAAUACCGGAUAGGAGCUCCUGCUGCAUGGUGGGGGUUGGAAAGUUUCGGCGGUUGGGGAUGGACUCGCGGCUUAUCAGCUUGUUGGUGGGGUAGUGGCUUACCAAGGCUUUGACGGGUAGCCGGCCUGAGAGGGUGAACGGCCACAUUGGGACUGAGAUACGGAGCAGACUCCUACGGGAGGCAGCAGUGGGGAAUAUUGCACAAUGGGCGGAAGCCUGAUGCAGAAACGCCGCGUGCGGGAUGACGGCCUUCGGGUUGUAAACCGCUUUCGGCUGUGACGAAGCGUGAGUGACGGUAAUGGGUAAAGAAGCACCGGCUAACUACGUG